rnacentral:rRNA from 1 species
AUACGGAGGAUCCGAGCGUUAUCCGGAUUUAUUGGGUUUAAAGGGUGCGCAGGCGGGAGACUCAGUCGGUGGUGAAAUCUUGCAGCUCAACUGUAAGCGUGCCAUUGAUACUGGUUUUCUUGAGUGUGGAUGAAGUAGGCGGAAUUUGUGGUGUAGCGGUGAAAUGCAUAGAUAUCACGAGGAACUCCGAUUGCGUAGGCAGCUUACUAAACCAUAACUGACGCUCAUGCACGAAGGCGUGGGGAUCAAACAGGAUUAGAUACCCUGGUAGUCCACGCGGUAAACGAUGAUUACUGGCUGUUUGCGAUACACAGUAAGCGGCCCAGCGAAAGCGUUAAGUAAUCCACCUGGGGAGUACGUUCGCAAGAAUGAA